rnacentral:misc_RNA from 1 species
UCUCCGUUGGUGAACCAGCGGAGGGAUCAUUACAGAGUUGCAAAACUCCCAACCCUUGUGAACAUACCCGUUACAGUUGCUCCGGCGGGCAGCCCCAGGGCGGGGCUGCAGCCUCUUCUCACGAGGCGCCCGCCGGAGGUAUAUAACUCUUUGUAUUUGUUGGUCUCUCUGAGUAAAUUUAUAAUAAGUCAAAACUUUUAACAACGGAUCUCUUGGUUCUG